rnacentral:rRNA from 1 species
AGUGAACGCUGGCGGCAGGCCUAACACAUGCAAGUCGAACGGCAGCACAGUAAGAGCUUGCUCUUACGGGUGGCGAGUGGCGGACGGGUGAGGAAUACAUCGGAAUCUACUUUUUCGCUUGUGAUAAUGCAGGGAAACUUACUCUAAUACCGCAUACGACGUACGGGUGAAAGCAGGCGAUCUAUUGACUUUUUGCGGAUGAAUGAGCCAAUGUCGGAUUAGCUAGUUGGCUGGGUUAAGGGCCACCAAGGCGACGAUCCGAAGGUGGCCUGAGAGGAUGAUCAGCCACACGGGAAGUGAGACACGGUCCCGACUCCUACGGGGGGCAGCGGUGGAGACUCUUGCACAAUGGGCGAAAGCCUGAUCCAGCGAUACCGCGUGGGUGAAGAAGGCCUUAGGGUUGUAAAGCCCUUUUGUUGGGAAAGAAAAACAACACUUUAAUCCCCCGCUGUUAUGACGGUACCCGAAGAAUAAGCACCGGCUAACUUCGUG